AGAUACGUACCUGGAAGUCCCCGCAAACCACCCGCGGCGAGAGCAGCUGCAAACAGCGCCCGGAGCAGGAGAGAGAAGAGGAGCGGACACCGCCCUGACCCGCCCCCAGCGCAAGCUCCACCUGCCCAGCCAGGGUAAAGCAAGUAGAGAACAGCUACCAAGAGGGAUUUUACAGCUAACUGGCUGUCCAUCAAAGGGAGCUACCCCUUCCUCCCCCCCAUUUAUCACAGAGUACACCAGGCUCCCUGACCACAACAGGAGGAAGGUAUCGGAGAGGGAGUCCUUGCUAAGACCCGGUCGAGAACAAAACCGGUGGCGUUUCCUGUUCUGUCUGGUAGUGAACAGGUCUACUUGGGGUCCAAGGUCCAAGAUGUCUGACACCAACUUGAUGGAGUGAGGGGGGUUGUCGAAUGGAACCCCUUCCAGGACUGUCCAGUGGUCCACCAUCGCAGCGAGGUAAGUAUCGCCUGGGGAAUGGUAACUAUCUUCUCCAAGGAGUCUCAGGACUGGGAAUAGACCGUCACCAGCCAUUGUUGCAGGGGCUGCAUCCGGAGUCUGGCAUGGUGGACCACGUAAGUGCAUGCUGUCAUGUAGCCCAGCGGGCCCAGGCAGACCCUGGCUGUAGGCAGAGGGAACGCUGAGAUGUCCACAAUGAGGUUUGCCAUCACGUGGAAUCUUUCCAGCGGCAGGAAUGCUCUGGCGCAGGUCGAGUCAAGGACCACUCCGAUGAACUUUAUCCUCUGCACUGGCACUAACGCUGACUUUUUGUUGUUCACCAAUAGGCCCAGAGAGUGGCACAGUGCUUGAAGCACCGCAACAUCCCUUUGGACUUGAGAUCUGGAGCCGCCCUUGACGAGCCAGUCAUUGGGAUAUGGGUGGAUCUGGAUACCCCGGUGCCUGCGGGUCCUGCCGUCGAAGGGCAGAUCCUUCAAGGACUGCUGGGCCUUGGUGGACAACCCAGAGAGGAGCAGCCAAGAAACUCACCGCAUGGAGAUAGCGGAAGCCAUGGUGUGGGCAGCAGCAUCCGGAGCUCUGACACUGCCUGUAGGGUUGCCCUGGCUGCAGUUGUGCCCUCAUUGAGGAUCACUCGGAACUCCUUGGAAGCAUUGGGAAGUGACCCUUCAAACUUGGCCAUGGCUUGCCACAUAUUAAAGUCAUAUCGGCCAAGGACAGCUUGGUGGUUGGCCACUCUCAGCUGAAGGCUGGAAGACGAAUAAACCUUACGUCCAAUGAG